AGUGAACGCUGGCGGUAGGCCUAACACAUGCAAGUCGAACGGCAGCACAGUAAGAGCUUGCUCUUACGGGUGGCGAGUGGCGGACGGGUGAGGAAUACAUCGGAAUCUACUUUUUCGUGGGGGAUAACGUAGGGAAACUUACGCUAAUACCGCAUACGACCUACGGGUGAAAGCGGGGGAUCUUCGGACCUUGCGCGAUUGAAUGAGCCGAUGUCGGAUUAGCUAGUUGGCGGGGUAAAGGCCCACCAAGGCGACGAUCCGUAGCUGGUCUGAGAGGAUGAUCAGCCACACUGGAACUGAGACACGGUCCAGACUCCUACGGGAGGCAGCAGUGGGGAAUAUUGGACAAUGGGCGCAAGCCUGAUCCAGCCAUACCGCGUGGGUGAAGAAGGCCUUCGGGUUGUAAAGCCCUUUUGUUGGGAAAGAAGAGCAGCAGGUUAAUACCCCGCUGUUCUGACGGUACCCAAAGAAUAAGCACCGGCUAACUUCGUG
rnacentral:rRNA from 1 species